GAGCGGCAGCGGGGCGGGGAGGAGGGGGCGGGCGCGCCCGGCGCGCUGAGGCGGCGGCCUAACCCCGCCGGUGACCGCCGAGGGGCUGCCGAGGGAGGGAGCCGCGCACCGCUGCCCCGGCCCCGCUGCCCGCCCCCGCCUCCUCCUCGCCCAAUGGGAGCGCGUCGAGGGCGCCCCGUCCUUCUGUCACCGCCCCGCGUGCCGCCAUCUCGCAGCGUAGGCCUGGUCACGACGCUGACACCGCCGGAGCUCAGUCACGACAGCGAACCCUCCGCCCUGUCACGACAUGGCAGCGCAGCCCCCAGAGCGCCUGCGGCAAAGCCGGGCUGGGAGGCGUCGCUCCUGGGCCGCCACCAAGGCCCUCUCGGCACACGCGGGGCUCCACGCAGCGCAGCCGCCGUCCCAUC
rnacentral:lncRNA from 1 species